GAUGAACGCUGGCGGCGUGCCUAGUACAUGCAAGUCGAGCGAACGGACGAGAAGCUUGCUUCUCUGAUGUUAGCGGCGGACGGGUGAGUAACACGUGGAUAACCUACCUAUAAGACUGGGAUAACUUCGGGAAACCGGAGCUAAUACCGGAUAAUAUUUUGAACCGCAUGGUUCAAAAGUGAAAGACGGUCUUGCUGUCACUUAUAGAUGGAUCCGCGCUGCAUUAGCUAGUUGGUAAGGUAACGGCUUACCAAGGCAACGAUGCAUAGCCGACCUGAGAGGGUGAUCGGCCACACUGGAACUGAGACACGGUCCAGACUCCUACGGGAGGCAGCAGUAGGGAAUCUUCCGCAAUGGGCGAAAGCCUGACGGAGCAACGCCGCGUGAGUGAUGAAGGUCUUCGGAUCGUAAAACUCUGUUAUUAGGGAAGAACAUAUGUGUAAGUAACUGUGCACAUCUUGACGGUACCUAACCAGAAAGCCACGGCUAACUACGUG
rnacentral:rRNA from 1 species